UACGGAGGGGACUAGCGUUGUUCAGAAUUACUGGGCGUAAAGCGCACGUAGGCGGAUUUGUAAGUCAGGGGUGAAAUCCCGGGGCUCAACCUCGGAACUGCCUUUGAUACUGCAAAUCUCGAGUCCGGAAGAGGUGAGUGGAAUUCCUAGUGUAGAGGUGAAAUUCGUAGAUAUUAGGAAGAACACCGGUGGCGAAGGCGGCAUUCUGGACCGAUAUUGACGCUGAGGAGCGAAAGCCAGGGGAGCAAACGGG
rnacentral:rRNA from 1 species